ACUCCUACGGGAGGCAGCAGUGGGGAAUAUUGCACAAUGGGCGCAAGCCUGAUGCAGCCAUGCCGCGUGUAUGAAGAAGGCCUUCGGGUUGUAAAGUACUUUCAGCAGUGAGGAAGGUGGAUAUGUUAAUAGCAUAUUCAUUUGACGUUAGCUGCAGAAGAAGCACCGGCUAACUCCGUGCCAGCAGCCGCGGUAAUACGGAGGGUGCGAGCGUUAAUCGGAAUUACUGGGCGUAAAGCGCAUGCAGGUGUUUGUUAAGUCAGAUGUGAAAGCCCGGGGCUCAACCUCGGAAUUGCAUUUGAAACUGGCAAACUAGAGUACUGUAGAGGGGGGUAGAAUUUCAGGUGUAGCGGUGAAAUGCGUAGAGAUCUGAAGGAAUACCGGUGGCAAGGCGGCCCCCUGGACAGAUACUGACACUCAGAUGCGAAAGCUGGGGAGCAAACAGGAUUAGAUACCCUGGUAGCUCUGC
rnacentral:rRNA from 1 species